CACUUUAGCAUCCGAAAGAGAAUAAAAAUGGCGCUUCGCUUUUAAAUCCUCGCGAAUUAAGCUCGAGAGAGGGAGAGAGAGGAGAAGUGAAAAACCUAGAAAUCUUGAAGAAGAUGAUUCUGAGAACUCCUCCUCCACGGAAACGGAAAACGGAAACGGGGGACGCCGUUUUCGCUCCCGAAGACCCCAUUUCCGAUCGCCGUCUCGUAAUUUACGAAGAUCCGCUGCCCGUAGCCUCUCACGACCCGACCUCCUCUUCGGAUCACAUGCUCUGCACUUACCAAUGCCGUCAGAUGGUGAAAUCAGAGUUUUUGGAUGCGUUUGACAGUGCGGAGAAGAAGGUACGCGAUUACCAAUCAAGAUUGGAGGCAUUGAAUGACAACCUAUGCAAAGCUGAAACAGAGAGAAGGAAAUACAAAGAUCAGUUCCACUUUGUAGAACAAGAACUUGCCGCUGCCAAAGGGCGUGAGCAGGCUUUGCAAGAGCAGUUACUGAAGGAGGUCAGUGAUUCUCAGGAGCGCCAUGAGAAACUGUUAAAACGUUGCAGCGAGCUUGAGGUACAGCUCAAAAAAGAAAUGGACCUUCGUAGGAAUGCUGAGUCUUCGGCAGCUGCAGCUAAAGAGAAUGCGACACUGCUCGAGGAGAAACUUCGCCGUGUUUCUGAAAGCAUGGAAAGAGAGAAAAAUAGUCUUCGUAAUGAGCUCGUACAUGUGCAAAAUGAGUCGAAGCUUUCUGUUUCUAGAAUGAAUGCAAAUCUUGAACGAAUGGGAUGCAGAGCGAACAAUGCAGAGAAAGAGUCUGAGUUACUGAAGACGCAGCUAGAGGAACUCAGAAAACAACUAAAUGAGUGUCUUUAUCAAAAGACGGAAGCAGAGCGGAAGCUUUCGAGGUUUACUGUUCCAUCUGAAGAAGCUAGUCCAACAAAGACCCAUAUCUUGGUGAAGCAUCUGCAAGAAGAUCUUAGAAACUAUGAGGCGGAAGUUCGAGAGGCAAGAAAGUUGAAAUCAUCUCAUGUAAAUAGUGAAUUACUGAAAGAGAAAUUGUUGGAAGAACAGAGCCGCAGAGAGAGGGCAGAAAAGGAGUUAUUUGAACUACAAGUGGUCCAGCUGAAUGUAAAGAAGUUGGAGGAUGAACUGAUGUCUUGGAAAUCAAUGCUGAAAGAGAUCCCUGAUGUUUCAUGUUCUGAUGAUAUACCGAGAAAAUUUGCCAGUUUGCAGAAAGAGCUAAUUGAUAGCAUGAUGAAGUUAGGUGAGAUCAGUGCUCAUCUGAAGCAGUUGGAGGUCGCCCUGGAAUCUGCAGACCUUGCUAAGCAACAUGCUGAAACGGAGGCCGCACUGGCCAAAGAGAAAGCUGAAGAAUCAUUGUUAGUGGUUAAACGGCUUGAGUUAAUGCUUUCUUCGGCCAUUGAAGAAAGAGAGAGACUAAGAAAGGAUGCUAUUGCAUGGAAGAAGCAGAAGAGUGGGGAAGCAGAGGGUGGAAAGGCACAUGAUUCCCUUGUCAAGGAGCUAGAGUCAUCCCUUUCUGAAAGGCAAUGCACUGUAAGAGAACUGGAGCGUAAUUUACAUGAACAAAGGCAAGUCAUUACUGGCCAACAUGAUGAACUAAAGUUGCUUAAUGAAAAGCUGAAUAAUGAAGCGAGGAGAAUUAAGUCUUUGGAACGGGAGGGUGACCGACUUCGUUCUGAGAUUUCUUUACUGGAGUCCAAGCUGGGGCACGGUGACUAUUCUGCUGCAAAUACAAAGGUUUUGCGAAUGGUGAAUACAUUGGCUGUUGAUAAUGAGGGAAAACAUACUAUAGAGGCAUUACAAGCUGAACUACAGAAAACAAAGGCCAAGCUACAAGCUGUUGAAGACUUGAAAGGACAAUCAGAAGCUGGAACUAUAGUAGAUUCUCAUAUACCUGAAAAACUUGCACAGCUUAAAGCACAAAUUGCAACAUUGGAGAAACGUGAAGAAAGAUACAAGACAGUUUUUGCCGAGAAAAUCUCAGUUUUCAGAAGGGCUUGUUGCUCGCUUUUUGGUUAUAAGAUUGUCAUGGAUGAUCAGCAGUGGCCUAAUGGGAUCCCAGUCACACGAUUUACUCUCCAAUCUAUUUAUGCUCAAACUGACGAUGAGAAACUUGAAUUUGAAUAUGAAUCAGGGAACACAAAUAUUUUGGUAAAUGCAUACACUUCUCAGUCUGAGAUAUCCCAUCAGGUUGAGAUAUUCAUACGGAAGAUGAACUCAAUUCCUGCAUUUACCGCAAACUUAACAGUUGAGUCCUUCAACAGGAGGACCUUAAGUUGAAUUCCGAGCAUAAUCUUCAUCUUGGGAGGUUGUAAAAUCCUGAUCCAACAGCAACAGCAACAACAAUGACAAGAAAUACUAUUCUUACUAUUUGUGUGGAUGGACCAGUGAUUUCAGGCUCUGCAGAGUGUUAACCUGUGUGCUACGAUAUCUAGGUACGGCAUGGAUAUAGCACAUUCAUGUCAUGGCUGUGGUGUCUUCACUCAAAAUUUGAGGUGUAGAUCGAUGACAUUGCCCGUUUACUGUUUGGAUAUCAAAGCUGGUGCACAUGUAUACCUGGGACCCCUUUGGAAAAUAGUGCAGGCGAACGGUACUCUUACUCUGAAAAUGAUGCUUUCUUUUGAAAGGUUGGAGACCCCAUUGCACCUUGUGCGGAAUGGAGAACAUCGAUACUGGCGUCGCCUAGCAACUUAGCUCGUUUUGUUGAAUAACAAAAUAGAAAAUUUUUGAUACCCUGGCAGAGUGAUGAAAGAUAAGCUGGCGCUCGGAAAUUAUACCCUGUACCCUGGGUAUGUAUUUGAUUCAAAUUAAAUUGUCUGGAGAUAUCAGGCCCUGCUUUUGAUGGUUAUGAAGCAGCAAAUAUAAUGAAUUGCUGCCUGAGAUGUGACUGGAGUAUAUCUAUUGGACGGUCACGAUGUAAGAUUAUCAACAGUUUGAAUUCAACGAACAGGUUUCCAUGAAUAGAGAUUGGAUGAUCCAAAUUAAUGUUAUUUAGGUUUGUGAAAAGUUGACUGGGCCUGCCUGAAAAGUGAGCCUGUUGUGGCCUCAUUUGUCCAACAUUGAGAGUCCAUGGGCUCGGUUCUUAGUGUUGUGUCCUGCAAAGUCAAUGUGUUGAUUUUAA